rnacentral:lncRNA from 1 species
CCCUCCAGGAAGAGGUCCAGAGAUUUCACCAAUUCUGCCUUGGAUCAUAGACAGAGAGAGGAAAUUGCCCUUUCCUCCAGCUUUUCCUUCCCCUUCUCUGGAGAUUGACGUGCUCUUGUCGACAUGGACCGCAACAACACGGUUGUGUUUCAGGUCGUGCCUUCGCUGAUAAGAACACUUUUUGGAGCUAACUUCCUCGGUUGUGACAGAGGCCCGAAGCCCAGACUCGGCGGAUGUUGCCCGUGACCCCAGCAUUCCCGAUGGCUCCGGGGAUUGCUGCUGAAGCCCGUUGGGAACUUGCCCACGACACACCAAGGAGAAGCUCUUAGCCAGAGACAAGUGACCAGCUUCAGAACAGGGUCUCUGUGCUCCUCACUCAAAAAAAAMCCCACACUGCCCACUGCAUCCCGCUGUAGGAAGCACAGACACAUGACUGCUUACGACUACUCUUGAAUUAGGUUGCCAUUUGUACAGAUUUCAUAAAAAAUGUAUCCAUGUGAGCACUGCUGCUGGAGACCAGACUUCAGCAUGGACUUAAACUGUACAAAUCUUCCUGAAGGCCACAACACAGGAGUGUAGCUGCCUUUAAAACUUCCUGCACCUCAGAUGCCAGUGCAUAAUAUUCCCUUGUUACUUCCUCUGAGUUGCUUAUAACAACCCUGGAGUGACAUUGCAGCAGAGCAGAGGACGAAAGGGCUGAGCUUACAGCUAGUGUAAUUCRGGUUUGGUGGAGAUUAAGAUCUGGCUCAAAACUUUUGAGUAGUGUGUUGUCAAGCUACACACGCUAGGGCGUAGCUGGACAGCUGGGUUGCUAUGCUCAGUCCAGCUUGUUUCAAUUAUAUUUAUCUUCCCUCGUAUUAAUGGUGAUAUAUUAUUGUAGUGUGCAUGGAAAUUAAAGCAAAA